UACGAAGGGGGCUAGCGUUGCUCGGAAUCACUGGGCGUAAAGGGUGCGUAGGCGGGUCUUUAAGUCAGGGGUGAAAUCCUGGAGCUCAACUCCAGAACUGCCUUUGAUACUGAAGAUCUUGAGUUCGGGAGAGGUGAGUGGAACUGCGAGUGUAGAGGUGAAAUUCGUAGAUAUUCGCAAGAACACCAGUGGCGAAGGCGGCUACCUGGCCCAUUCUUGACGCUGAGGCGCGAAAGCUAGGGGAGCAAACGGG
rnacentral:rRNA from 1 species